UUGGCGAGGUGGGUGAGAAUCAUGGCAGGACCAGAAAGUGAUGCCCAGUUCCAGUUCACUGGAAUCAAAAAAUAUUUCAACUCUUAUACUCUCACAGGUAGAAUGAAUUGUGUACUGGCCAAAUAUGGAAGCGUUGCUUUGAUAAUCUUAUACUUCAAGUUAAGAUCUAAAAAAACUCCAGCUGUGAAAGCAACAUAAAUGGAUUCUAAACUGUACUUCAUCUAUUAAGUUCCCAUGCCUGGAGAAGCUAAUGUCACCUCAUCCUGUGAUACUCAAUUUGUACAAUAAAUUAUGAACCUGGAAAAAAAAACA